rnacentral:rRNA from 1 species
GAGUUUGAUCCUGGCUCAGGAUGAACGCUAGCGGGAGGCCUAACACAUGCAAGCCGAGCGGUAUGGAUCUUUCGGGAUCCAGAGAGCGGCGUACGGGUGCGGAACACGUGUGCAACCUGCCUUUAUCAGGGGGAUAGCCUUUCGAAAGGAAGAUUAAUACCCCAUAAUAUUUAGAAUGGCAUCAUUUUAAAUUGAAAACUCCGGUGGAUAGAGAUGGGCACGCGCAAGAUUAGAUAGUUGGUGAGGUAACGGCUCACCAAGUCUGCGAUCUUUAGGGGGCCUGAGAGGGUGAUCCCCCACACUGGUACUGAGACACGGACCAGACUCCUACGGGAGGCAGCAGUGAGGAAUAUUGGACAAUGGGUGCGAGCCUGAUCCAGCCAUCCCGCGUGAAGGACGACGGCCCUAUGGGUUGUAAACUUCUUUUGUAUAGGGAUAAACCUACCCUCGUGAGGGUAGCUGAAGGUACUAUACGAAUAAGCACCGGCUAACUCCGUGCCAGCAGCCGCGGUAAUACGGAGGGUGCAAGCGUUAUCCGGAUUUAUUGGGUUUAAAGGGUCCGUAGCGGAUGUGUAAGUCAGUGGUGAAAUCUCACAGCUUAACUGUGAAACUGCCAUUGAUACUGCAUGUC